rnacentral:rRNA from 1 species
AUUGAACGCUGGCGGCAGGCUUAACACAUGCAAGUCGAACGAGUGGCGGACGGGUGAGUAAUGCUUGGGAAUCUAGCUUAUGGAGGGGGAUAACUACGGGAAACUGUAGCUAAUAUCGCGUACCAUAGGAUGAGCCCAAGUGGGAUUAGGUAGUUGGUGAGGUAAAGGCUCACCAAGCCGACGAUCGCUAGCUGGUCUGAGAGGUUGACCAGCCACACGGGGAUUGAGAAAAGGCCCAGACUCCUACGGGAGGCAGCAGUGGGGAAUAUUGCGCAAUGGGGGCAACCUGACGGAGCAAGGCCGCGUGAAUGAAGAAGGCUUUCGGGUUGUAAAGUUCUUUCGGUAGCGAGGCGUUACCUACAGAAGAAGCACCGGCUAACUCCGUGCCAGCCGCCGCGGUAAUAC